GAUGAACGCUGGCGGCGUGCCUAAUACAUGCCAGUCGAGCGAACAGACGAGGAGCUUGCUCCUCUGACGUUAGCGGCGGACGGGUGAGUAACACGUGGAUAACCUACCUAUAAGACUGGGAUAACUUCGGGAAACCGGAGCUAAUACCGGAUAAUAUAUUGAACCGCAUGGUUCAAUAGUGAAAGACGGUUUUGCUGUCACUUAUAGAUGGAUCCGCGCCGCAUUAGCUAGUUGGUAAGGUAACGGCUUACCAAGGCGACGAUGCGUAGCCGACCUGAGGGGGGGCGCGGCCCAACUGGAACUGAGACACGGCCCAGACCCCGACGGGAGGCAGCAGGAGGGAAUCUGCCGCAAUGGGCGAAAGCCGGACGGGGCAACGCCGGGGGGGGGAGAAAGGUCUUCGGAACGUAAAACGCGUUUAUUAGGGAAGAACAAAUGGGUAAGGAACUAGGCCCGUCUGGACGGUACCUAAGCAAAAAGCCACGGCUAACCACGU
rnacentral:rRNA from 1 species